GGGCGACUUCUUCCCUCAUGUGAGCUGCUCUGUUUACAUUUGCUGGUCGCUGGAAGAUCGAAAGACUGGACAAAAUCCAUAUGGCGGCCGGCCGGCGCGGUGGCUCUCGCCUGUGAUCCCGCGCUUUGGGAGGCCGAGGCGGGAGGUUCUUCUGAGCUGAAGAGUUCGAGACCAGCCCGGGAAACGUAGUGAGACCCCCACCAUCUCUACAAAUAAUAACAAACAAACAAAAGGUCCCCCCGCCCCGCCGGCCGCGGGUUGCCGUCGCACCCAGGCACAUUUGAAGGGCGGCAGGAGCCAAGGCCUGGCUGUCACUGCUGUCCCGGACCCCUUUGACGGCCCCUGGGGGUUCACCAGAGGGCUGGCCCGUGGCUCACUGCCCAGUCCUCUAUGAGGACACUUCGCCAUAGACAUUUUGUUAUUGCAGACUGCUCUGGGAACACCCCUGACUGGGCCCUAAAAUGAAUUCCAGAAAAGGAAUCGCAGGUCAAGGGGCGGUUCUAAAAGGCUUGGGCUAGGGUCAGCCAGAGCUCUGUGCAGCAGAUGGGGGCCUGGAAAAGUCUGCAGAAGUGGCCUUCCGCCCAGGCCCUGCCUCCCCCGACGGGGGCACGUUGUCCUGAGUGCAGAGCUGCUUCUAGGAGGGAGUAGGGGUCCUGUGUCCCCUCCUGCGAACCAAGGCAUAAUGAGAACUGGAUGACUUGGGCCCACUUUUGGGUCUGGUGAGCAGCCUGGGCAGGAGACUGGAGGAGGUGCUGCUGGAGGAUGGGCAGAACAGGGAAGCGGGAGUGGCGUUCUGUCUCAGCAACACCAUUCCCAGCUGGCUCCUCUGUGGAGUGUGUGUGCAGGGGAGCGGGGGCAGGGGACACGGAUUUUCUUCCUCCAGCUCUUAGCUCUCAGGACCAGAGCUUGGAGAGGAACAGAGACCCCCCUACCCAGCCUAGGGUUUAGCCUGCGCCCGAACCCAAGCCAGUUAGCAAUGACCCUAGGGCACCCUCCCCAGUCACUCAGCCACUCCAGCCUGGUAAGAUGAGGUGGCCAGGCUCCUGCAGAGCGAGCUCCCCUCUGGAGCCCUGGCAGCCUGUAGAGCACUCUCAACUCUCUCGCCUCUGGGGCAGGCCAGGCCAGGCUGUUUGUGGCCCUUGCAUUGGCUUCUCAGGGUCCAUCAUGGAAACCUAGGGGUCCAACCUCAGCCCCUCUGUGUCCCUGCCCUAGCUGCGGCUGAGAGCCCCCAGGAGUAAGCUGGUGAGAGGCCUUCCAUGGCCUCCCACUCUCUGUGGGCUCCUGUCCCUGUGGGGCCACCACGCUGGCCACCAGCUGCCUCUACUUCUGCCUUACAGCCUCCCUGCCUUCUGCUCUCAACGUUGAAACAGCCCCCUCCACAGCUCCCGAACCUGUGUUCCAGCGGAUGCUUCUCUCCCUUGAUGAUGCACCCGCCUGAGUCACCCCCUAAUUUCUCCCCUGGGGGAUUCUGACUUUCCACUUCUCUUGGGUUUCUCUUCCCCAGCCUCUCAGCUGUGGUUGGUGUGGAGUCAGGGCCGGGUGCCUAUAAGGGCCUAAGGUAGGACUUGGUGACUCGGCGGUGGUUUCCCUUGGUUCCGACUUCCCUCUUGCCUCUCUGUCUAUUACUGGCUGGUCAACUCCUCCAGUGCCCCUUCCUCCAGGCAGCCUCCUCAGCCCUGCCCACCUGCUCCAUCUGAGCCUGCCCCAGUCCCCAGCCUGAGUCCUCAAGCAGAACCAAUCCCCCCUACCUCAGCUGAUGAUUCCCUGUGCAGAGUUUGUAUUGGGGCUCCCCUAACAAGAGCUGAUGCUGUAUAUGCCCAGCUGUGCCAUCUCAUUGACUUCUCCCCAGGAUCCUAGGAGGGAGGGAACACUUUACAGAUGGGGAAACUGAAACUCAGAGAUGUUAAAUAACUUGCCUGAAGUCACAGCCAGUGAGGUCAAAGUGGGAUUAGGAUUUAAAGCCAAUAAACCCCCAAAGCUCAGCACUGAGGAGGCUGAAGAGGGAGGACUGCUUGAGGCCAGGAGUUGGAGUUCUGCCUGGACAACAUAGCAAGACCCUAUCUCUUAAUUAAGAAUUAAAGCCAGUAAACCGGCUUCAGAGAACCAAUGGCUGAUUUGAAGAAAGGUGGGAACAGGCAGGAAGGAUGCCCACUGGGGAGGCUGCUGUGCCCAAAUCCCUGGCAGGGACCACGUGACUGCAGUCCCUCCCCUCUAAGCAGCACAGCCUCCUACCCCACUGUGCUCUGUGAUCCCCAGUCAGCCCCUGUCCCUCUCCUGACCUCAGCCCGCUUCCUCUUCGGGCUCUGCAGAACUCAGGGGCAGGGCACUGGGAGGAAGCAAUGCUGCCUCUGGCUGCACUCUGCAGAGGAGCAGACUACAAGGAUAGAGUCCAGUGCCCUGCCUGGAGUCUGCCCUGUGCCUGACCUGCUGAGCCGGGUCAUGUUCUGUGGAUAAAAGACCUGGGCCUCCUUUGAAGCCCCCUCCAGGCCCAGUGGUUCACGUGUAACCAGGUGUGAUUUCUGAGGAACCUGGACCAAACACUGGCCUGGUAACGUCAUGCAGCCUCCUGCCUGGAUGCUGCCAAAGCAGCCCCUGUGGGCCCCAGGGAGAGCAGGGGCUGUGGACAGGGGAGGUCAGCUGGAGGGGAGGCUGGCACCUUCCAAGCCCCUCUCCUUGUGCACCUGCUCUGGGGGACACUAAGGCUCCCAAUCAGCCCCUGCCUGGGGGGUCUCACCCUGACAUUUAGGUCUGAAGGCCUUGAGGGCCACCUCCCCACUGUUAUCUGCUGCUGCUGUCCCCGUCACAGCUGCCUGGCCCCCGUACACUGUCAUUUUGCCCCAGGCAGGCUCGCACAGGGCCGGCGCUCUGGGAGGGUGGAAGGAUUGCUGGGCCCAUGACUGGACACCUCUGUCACCCAACUUCUGAUCUAUCUGCACGUUGAGACCAGCCUGGCCAACACAGCAAGAUCCCUGUCUCAACAGAAUAAAAACAAAAAUAAAAUGAUCUUCUGUCUGCACACUGGGGACAAAAACACCCACCUCAGAAAGCUGAGGGUUACCAGCGGCGCCAGGCCGGAGCCGCCCCAGUGCCAGGCUCACUGCUUGCCAUAGGCAGCCCUGCCCUCUGGAUCUCAUAUCUGCAGUUCUGACCUUGCCUGUGGAGGGAAAGUGUAGGGGAAAGAAAGAGAUCAGACUGCUACUGUGUCUAUGUAGAAAGAAGUGGACAUAAGAAACUCCAUUUUGUUCUGUACUAAGAAAAAUUCUUCUGCCUUGAGAUGCUGUUAAUCUGUAACCCUAGCCCCAACCCUGUGCUCGCAGAAACAUGUGCUGUGUUGACUCAAGGUUUAAUGGGUUUAGGGCUGUGCAGGACGUGCUGUGUUAAAAUGUGUUUGCAGGCAGUGUGCUUGGUGAAAGCCAUCGCCAUUCUCCAGUCUUGAGUACCCAGGGACACGAUGCACUGCGGAAGGCCGCAGGGACCUCUGCCCAAGAAAGCCUGGGUGUUGUCCAAGGUUUCCCCCGACUGAGACAGCCUGAGAUAUGGCCUCGUGACAAGGGAAAAACCUGACCAUCCCCCAGCCCAACACCCGUAAAGGGUCUGUGCUGAGGAGGAUUAGUGAAAGAGGAAGGCCUCUUUGCAGUUGAGAUAGGAGGAAAGCAUCUAUCUCCUGCUCCUCCCUGGGAAUGGAAUGUCUCGGUGUAAAACCCGAUUGUACAUUCUAUUUACUGAGAUACGAGAAAACUGCCUUAUGGCUGGAGGUGAGACAUGCUGGCGGCAAUACCGCUCUUUACUGCACUGAGAUGUUUGUGUAAAGUCAGACAUAAAUCUGGCCUACGUGCACAUCCAGGCACAGCACCUUUCCUUAAACUUAUUUAUGACACAGAGACCUUUGCUCACAUGUUUUCCUGCUGACCCUCUCCCCACCAUUACCCUAAAGUCCUGCCACAUCCCCCUCACUGAAAUAGUAGAAAUAGUGAUCAAUAAAUACUGAAGGAACUCAGAGACCAGUGCCGGCGCGGGUCCUCCAUAUGCUGGCACCAGUUCCCUGGGCCCACUGUUCUUUCGC
ensembl:lncRNA TRMT61A-DT TRMT61A divergent transcript